rnacentral:rRNA from 1 species
UACGUAGGGUGCGAGCGUUAAUCGGAAUUACUGGGCGUAAAGAGCUCGUAGGCGGUUUGUCGCGUCUGCUGUGAAAACUCGGGGCUUAACCCCGGGCCUGCAGUGGGUACGGGCAGACUAGAGUCCGGAAGAGGAGAGUGGAAUUCCUGGUGUAGCGGUGAAAUGCGCAGAUAUCAGGAGGAACACCCGUGGCGAAAGCGGCUCUCUGGGACGGUACUGACGCUGAGACGCGAAAGCGUGGGGAGCAAACAGG